rnacentral:lncRNA from 1 species
GUGAACCUGUGCUGGAUUCCCUGCCACGUGCUGCACCUGCGAUGUGAACCUCUGCUGGAUUCCCUGCCGAGUGCUGCACCUGCGAUGUGAACCUGUGCUGGAUUCCCUGCCGAGUGCUGCACCUGCGAUGUGAACCUGUGCUGGAUUCCCUGCCGAGAGCUGCACCUGCGAUGUGAACCUGUGCUGGAUUCCCUGCCACGUGCUGCACCUGCGAUGUGAACCUGUGCUGGAUUCCAUGCCACGUGCUGCACCUGCGAUGUGAACCUGUGCUGGAUUCCCUGCCGAGUGCUGCACCUGCGAUGUGAACCUGUGCUGGAUUCCCUGCCGAGUGCUGCACCUGCGAUGUGAACCUGUGCUGGAUUCCCUGCCAUGUGCUGCACCUGCGAUGUGAACCUGUGCUGGAUUCCCUGCCGAGUGCUGCAUCUGGGAAGCCUGAGAGACCAUUGCUCACCAGUUAAGUUAAUGUCUUGAAUUACAUUGGCACUAUCAUCCCUGG